GGGAAGAGCCCAAACCAACAAGCUUGCUUGUUGGGGUUGUAGGACACUCUAUACGGAGUUACAAAGGACGACAUUAGACGAAUCAUCUGGAAAGAUGAAUCAAAGAAGGUAAUAAUCCUGUAGUCGAAAAUGUUGUCUCUCUUGAGUGGAUCCUGAGUACGACGGAGCACGUGAAAUUCCGUCGGAAUCUGGGAGGACCAUCUCCUAAGGCUAAAUACUCUCUAGUGACCGAUAGUGAACCAGUACCGUGAGGGAAAGGUGAAAAGCACCCCGGAAGGGGAGUGAAAUAGAACCUGAAACCGUGUGCUUACAAGUAGUCAGAGCCCGUUAAUGGGUGAUGGCGUGCCUUUUGUAGAAUGAACCGGCGAGUUACGAUUUGAUGCAAGGUUAAGCAGUAAAUGUGGAGCCGUAGCGAAAGCGAGUCUGAAUAGGGCGUUUAGUAUUUGGUCGUAGACCCGAAACCAGGUGAUCUACCCUUGGUCAGGUUGAAGUUCAGGUAACACUGAAUGGAGGACCGAACCGACUUACGUUGAAAAGUGAGCGGAUGAACUGAGGGUAGCGGAGAAAUUCCAAUCGAACCUGGAGAUAGCUGGUUCUCUCCGAAAUAGCUUUAGGGCUAGCCUCAAGUGAUGAUUAUUGGAGGUAGAGCACUGUUUGGACGAGGGGCCCCUCUCGGGUUACCGAAUUCAGACAAACUCCGAAUGCCAAUUAAUUUAACUUGGGAGUCAGAACAUGGGUGAUAAGGUCCGUGUUCGAAAGGGAAACAGCCCAGACCACCAGCUAAGGUCCCAAAAUAUAUGUUAAGUGGAAAAGGAUGUGGCGUUGCCCAGACAACUAGGAUGUUGGCUUAGAAGCAGCCAUCAUUUAAAGAGUGCGUAAUAGCUCACUAGUCGAGUGACACUGCGCCGAAAAUGUACCGGGGCUAAACAUAUUACCGAAGCUGUGGAUUGUCCUUUGGACAAUGGUAGGAGAGCGUUCUAAGGGCGUUGAAGCAUGAUCGUAAGGACAUGUGGAGCGCUUAGAAGUGAGAAUGCCGGUGUGAGUAGCGAAAGACGGGUGAGAAUCCCGUCCACCGAUUGACUAAGGUUUCCAGAGGAAGGCUCGUCCGCUCUGGGUUAGUCGGGUCCUAAGCUGAGGCCGACAGGCGUAGGCGAUGGAUAACAGGUUGAUAUUCCUGUACCACCUAUAAUCGUUUUAAUCGAUGGGGGGACGCAGUAGGAUAGGCGAAGCGUGCGAUUGG
rnacentral:rRNA from 1 species